UCGGGAAUUUUGGGCAAUGGGCGCAAGCCUGAUCCAGCCAUGCCGCGUGAGUGACGAAGGCCUUAGGGUUGUAAAGCUCUUUUGGCGGGGACGAUAAUGACGGUACCCGCAGAAUAAGCCCCGGCUAACUUCGUGCCAGCAGCCGCGGUAAUACGAAGGGGGCUAGCGUUGUUCGGAAUUACUGGGCGUAAAGCGCACGUAGGCGGAUUUGUCAGUCAGGGGUGAAAUCCCGAGGCUCAACCUCGGAACUGCCUCCGAUACAGCAAGUCUCGAGUCCGGAAGAGGUGAGUGGAAUUCCUAGUGUAGAGGUGAAAUUCGUAGAUAUUAGGAAGAACACCAGUGGCGAAGGCGGCUCACUGGUCCGGUACUGACGCUGAGGUGCGAAAGCGUGGGGAGCAAACAGGAUUAGAUACCCCAGUAGUCCCUGAGCGGGCUGGCAAGGCGCAU
rnacentral:rRNA from 1 species